GGAAGAUUACGCUACAAUCAAUAAGAGAUUGAUGAAGUGAGAGACACAUGGUUCAAGUAUCUUAUUGAUAAAUGGAUUAAUACAUAGUAUAUAGUAUAUG